AUUGAACGCUGGCGGCAGGCCUAACACAUGCAAGUCGAGCGGAUGAAGGGAGCUUGCUCCUGGAUUCAGCGGCGGACGGGUGAGUAAUGCCUAGGAAACUGCCUGGUAGUGGGGGAUAACGUCCGGAAACGGGCGCUAAUACCGCAUACGUCCUGAGGGAGAAAGUGGGGGAUCUUCGGACCUCACGCUAUCAGAUGAGCCUAGGUCGGAUUAGCUAGUUGGUGGGGUAAAGGCCUACCAAGGCGACGAUCCGUAACUGGUCUGAGAGGAUGAUCAGUCACACUGGAACUGAGACACGGUCCAGACUCCUACGGGAGGCAGCAGUAGGGAAUAUUGGACAAUGGGCGAAAGCCUGAUCCAGCCAUGCCGCGUGUGUGAAGAAGGUCUUCGGAUUGUAAAGCACUUUAAGUUGGGAGGAAGGAAAGUAAGUUAAUCCCUUGCUGUUUUGACGUUACCAACAGAAUAAGCCCCGGCUAACUUCGUG
rnacentral:rRNA from 1 species